rnacentral:rRNA from 1 species
CCUACGGGUGGCUGCAGUGGGGAAUAUUGGACAAUGGGGGGAACCCUGAUCCAGCCAUGCCGCGUGUGUGAAGAAGGCCCUCGGGUUGUAAAGCACUUUCAGUGAGGAAGAACGCCUGGUGGUUAAUACCCAUCAGGAAAGACAUCACUCACAGAAGAAGCACCGGCUAACUCCGUGCCAGCAGCCGCGGUAAUACGGAGGGUGCGAGCGUUAAUCGGAAUUACUGGGCGUAAAGCGCGCGUAGGUGGCUUGAUAAGCCGGUUGUGAAAGCCCCGGGCUCAACCUGGGAACGGCAUCCGGAACUGUCAAGCUAGAGUGCAGGAGAGGAAGGUAGAAUUCCCGGUGUAGCGGUGAAAUGCGUAGAGAUCGGGAGGAAUACCAGUGGCGAAGGCGGCCCUCUGGACUGACACUGACACUGAGGUGCGAAAGCGUGGGUAGCAAACAGGAUUAGAUACCCCUGUAGUC